rnacentral:rRNA from 1 species
UACGGAGGAUGCGAGCGUUAUCCGGAUUUAUUGGGUUUAAAGGGUGCGUAGGCGGAUCGUUAAGUCAGUGGUCAAAUUGAGGGGCUCAACCCCUUCCCGCCAUUGAAACUGGCGAUCUUGAGUGGAGGAGAAGUAUGCGGAAUGCGUGGUGUAGCGGUGAAAUGCAUAGAUAUCACGCAGAACCCCGAUUGCGAAGGCAGCAUGCCGGCUUCCUACUGACGCUGAAGCACGAAAGCGUGGGGAUCGAACAGG